rnacentral:rRNA from 1 species
GACGAACGCUGGCGGCGUGCUUAACACAUGCAAGUCGAACGGAAAGGCCCUGCUUUUGUGUGGUGCUCGAGUGGCGAGCGUGUGAGUAACACGUGAGUAACCUGCCCUUUGCUGGGGGAUAACUUCAGGAAACCGGGGCUAAUACCGGAUACGAGCUCCUGCUGCAUGGUGGGGGUUGGAAAGUUUCGGCGGAUGGGGAUGGACUCGCGGCUAAUCAGCUUGUUGGUUGGGUAGUGGCUUACCAAGGCAUUGACGGGUAGCCGGCCUGAGAGGGUGACCGGCCACAUUGGGACUGAGACACGGCCCAGACUCCUACGGGAGGCAGCAGUGGGGAAUAUUGCACAAUGGGGGGAGGCCUGAUGCAGCAACGCCGCGUGCGGGAUGACGGCCUUCGGGUUGUAAACCGCUUUCGGCUGUGACGAAGCGUGAGUGACGGUAAUGGGUAAAGAAGCACCGGCUAACUACGUG